rnacentral:rRNA from 1 species
UGCCUUACACAUGCAAGUCGAACGGCAGCGCGUCCUUCGGGAUGGCGGCGAGUGGCGAACGGGUGAGUAAAGCAUCGGAACGUGCCCGGUAGUGCGGGAUAGCUCGGCGAAAGCCGGAUUAAUACCGCAUGAGAUCCGUGGAUGAAAGCAGGGGACCCUUCGGGGCCUUGCGCUACUGGAGCGGCCGAUGUCAGAUUAGGUAGUUGGCGGGGUAAAGGCCCACCAAGCCUGCGAUCUGUAGCUGGUCUGAGAGGAUGAUCAGCCACAUCGGGGCUGAGACACGGCCCGAACUCCUACGGGAGGCAGCAGUGGGGAAUUUUGGACAAUGGGCGCAAGCCUGAUCCAGCCAUGCCGCGUGCAGGAUGAAGGCCUUCGGGUUGUAAACUGC